ensembl:lncRNA
GGCUGAUAUUGAAUACUGAAUUGCAGAUGCCUGAUUUUUUUAUUUAUAUGAAAUAUUUGAGAGUGUCGUUGAGAUGUUUCACAUCCCAAAAAAAAUACAAUUUCUUGUGCAUUUGACAUGAACAUCUGGCGUGGUGAAUGUGUGUGUGUGUGUGUGUGUGUGUGUGUUUGUGUGUGUGUGUGUGUGUGUGUGUGUGUGUGUGUGUGUGAGCAUGUUUGUUCAUGUGUGCAUCUCAUGGUGUAAUCAGUGCUCUUAAUGAGCAUGUGUAAUUAUUAACAAUCAACCAAAGACUUGUUAGCAAAUCAUUCACUCUUUCUUCCGUUUUUUUUUUUUUUAUUAUCUUUUUUCAUUCAAGUCUCUGCUUUUGUCUCCUCCUGUUAAACCAAUAAAACAACCACCUCAUCAGUCUCUGUCAGGUGAAGUUCAUCUAUCAAGCUGUGAAGCAAUAGCUCAUCAAAUAAAGUUAAAUCAGAUUCUCGUCUAGCGGCAACAACCACACAUGGGUUUGGAUUUGGUUCUGAUGUGUUUACUUUCUCCAGCCGUUUGAAAAGAGCACAUUUGGUCCUCUGGCAGUGGUGAGGACCAAUCAGAGAACCCCACUUAAAAGGGUUUGGUUAGACCUAAACAGUCCAAGUCCAGAUGAUUCUGCUUUGAGAACUGCUCGUUGGACCUCCUCUUCCUCACCGCAUGGAUUGUUCCGGAACAGCUAAAUCCAAAGAUGGCUUGUAAAAGGCCACAAAUAAUACUUUUAGUUCCUCUCCCAUAGAUUGGCGUAAUUUGUCUUGAAAUGUUUGUCUGAAGGAUGACUAAAUACAUACUAAAACUUCAAAAAUGAGACAUAGUUGAGUGUAAGUGAUCCUCUGGGACGGAUAAAAGCCUUCAUAUUUCAGGGCUGAGUCAUUGGGCAGCUCGUCUCGUUUUAGAUGCCAAUUAAUAGCACCCAUUCACUUUCGUUCUGUAGUAAAGAGCAGCUUGGACUUCAUGCAAAAUAUAUGAUGGAUGCAAUCGAACACCACAAGGACAAACAGAGUCAGAGAGAGAAUUCGACAGAACCUUGACUCCGGACCCCUGGGAUGCCCUCCUGCUGAAGAUGUGAGACUGUGAGGUUAUUUUAAGCAGCACAUUGGACCUCAUUCUGAAUGCAAAGAGAGCCUAGGGGUAAAGAGACGAGGUGAGAGGACAAUGCCAGCGGUUGAGUAGAAUAACAUUUCAGAAGGGAGUUUAAAAGCAGCUUUUUCCAGCUCAGUUUGCCACUGCAGGCCCAUUGACCAGAAUCAUUUCCAACCUUUUUGACAUUCACAGUUAAACAGCCUGUUUUUGUUACUAUGGAAGCUUGUUUCAGCCAAGGAAUAAUAAAAAAAGGGAAGUGCAAAUUUAUAUGCA